GACGAACGCUGGCGGCGUGCUUAACACAUGCAAGUCGAACGAAGAGCGAUGGAAGCUUGCUUCUAUCAAUCUUAGUGGCGAACGGGUGAGUAACGCGUAAUCAACCUGCCCUUCAGAGGGGGACAACAGUUGGAAACGACUGCUAAUACCGCAUACGAUCUAAUCUCGGCAUCGAGGAUAGAUGAAAGGUGGCCUCUACAUGUAAGCUAUCACUGAAGGAGGGGAUUGCGUCUGAUUAGCUAGUUGGAGGGGUAACGGCCCACCAAGGCGAUGAUCAGUAGCCGGUCUGAGAGGAUGAACGGCCACAUUGGGACCGAGACACGGCCCAGACUCCUACGGGAGGCAGCAGUGGGGAAUCUUCCGCAAUGGACGAAAGUCUGACGGAGCAACGCCGCGUGAGUGAUGACGGCCUUCGGGUUGUAAAGCUCUGUUAAUCGGGACGAAAGGCCUUCUUGCGAAUAGUGAGAAGGAUUGACGGUACCGGAAUAGAAAGCCACGGCUAACUACGUG
rnacentral:rRNA from 1 species